rnacentral:rRNA from 1 species
GGAGUUUGGACCGUGUCUCAGUUCCAAUGUGGCCGAUCAACCUCUCAGUUCGGCUACGCAUCCUCGCCUUGGUGGGCUAUUAUCUCACCAACUAGCUAAUGCGCCGCAGGUCCAUCCUUUAGUGACCCGAAAGGGCCUUUCAAGCAUCCGAGAUGCCUCGGUUGUUGUUAUCCGGUAUUAGCCAAAGUUUCCUCUGGGUAUCCCAAGCUAAAGGGCAGGUUACCUACGUGUUACUCACCCGUUCGCCACUAAGUUAAGAAAGCAAGCUCUCUUAACUCCGUUCGACUUGCAUGUAUUAGGCACGCCGCCAGCGUUCAUCCUGAGCCAUGAUACAAACUCU